rnacentral:snoRNA from 2 species
UUUUUUUUGUAGUUUCUAAGAGUGAUGGUUGGGUUUUCACACUCAUGUGUGAGAUAUGCCACCCUCAAACCUUAUUACCACCUGGGCACAUUAUCCAUCUGAUG